GCAAGUCGAACGCUUUGUGGUUCAACUGAUUUGAAGAGCUUGCUCAGAUACGACGAUGGACAUUGCAAAGAGUGGCGAACGGGUGAGUAACACGUGGGAAACCUACCUCUUAGCAGGGGAUAACAUUUGGAAACAGAUGCUAAUACCGUAUAACAAUGACAACCGCAUGGUUGUUAUUUAAAAGAUGGUUCUGCUAUCACUAAGAGAUGGUCCCGCGGUGCAUUAGCUAGUUGGNUAAGGUAAUGGCUUACCAAGGCGAUGAUGCAUAGCCGAGUUGAGAGACUGAUCGGCCACAAUGGGACUGAGACACGGCCCAUACUCCUACGGGAGGCAGCAGUAGGGAAUCUUCCACAAUGGGCGAAAGCCUGAAGGAGCAACGCCGCGUGUGUGAUGAAGGGUUUCGGCUCGUAAAACACUGUUGUGAGAGAAGAAUGACAUUGACAGUAACUGUUCAAUGUGUGACGGUAUCUUACCAGAAAGGAACGGCUAAAUACGUGCCAGCAGCCGCGGUAAUACGUAUGUUCCAAGCGUUAUCCGGAUUUAUUGGGCGUAAAGCGAGCGCAGACGGUUAUUUCAGUCUGAAGUGAAAGCCCUCAGCUCAACUGAGGAAUUGCUUUGCAAACUGGAUGACUUGAGUGCAGUAGAGGAACGUGGAACUCCAUGUGUAGCGGUUAAAUGCGGAGAUUCAUGUUACAACACCAGUGGUCGAAGGCA
rnacentral:rRNA from 1 species